rnacentral:tRNA from 1 species
GGAGAGGUGCCGGAGUGGUCGAACGGGCCUGAUUCGAAAUCAGGUGUACGGUUGUACCGUACCGUGGGUUCGAAUCCCACCCUCUCCGCCA